GUGCCCGUAGCUCAACGGUUAGAGCGCAGAGGAUAAGGGACUCUGGGUUGGGGGUUCGAUUCCCUCCGGGUGCG
rnacentral:tRNA from 2 species